rnacentral:rRNA from 1 species
GUACGUGAUCCUGGCUCAGGAUGCCAAACGCUAGCGGUGAACAGGCCUAAUACAUGCAAGUCGAACGGUGACAGCUUGCUCUUGAUGACGAGUGGCGCACGGGUUGCGGCGUAACGCGUAUGCAACCUACCUUUUACUGGGGGAUAGCCCGGAGAAAUCCGGAUUAAUACUCCAUGGUAUCCUGAUGCCCGCAUGGGCUGUCAGGAUUAAAGAUUUAUCGGUAAAGGAUGGGAAUGCGUGACAUUAGUUAGAAGGUAACGGCUUACCAAGACGAUGAUGUCUAGGGGUUCUGAGAGGAAGGUCCCCCACACUGGUACUGAGACACGGACCAGACUCCUACGGGAGGCAGCAGUAGGGAAUAUUGGUCAAUGGACGCAAGUCUGAACCAGCCAUGCCGCUGCAGGAUUGCGUGACAGCUUUCUGAGUUGUAAACUGCUUUUAUAUAGGAACAAAUAGGCCAUGCGUGGCAAGUUGCGUGUACUAUAUGAAUAAGCACCGGCUAACCGUGCCAGCAGCCUAAUACGGAGGGGUGCAAGCGUUGGCCGGAUUUAUUGGGUUUAAAGGGUGCGUAGGUGGUUUUUUAAGUCAGUGGUGAAAGCCUGCAGCUCAACUGUAGAGGUGCCAUUGAAACUGGAGAACUUGAGUAUGGACGAGGUAGGCGGAAUUUGUGGUGUAGCGGUGAAAUGCAUAGAUACCACAAUGAACACCGAUAGCGAAGGCAUCUUACUGGACCAUAACUGACACUGAGGCACGAAAGCGUGGGGAGCGAACAGGAUUAGAUACCCUGGUAGUCCACGCCGUAAACGAUGCUCACUCGAUGUAUGCGAUAUACUGUAUGCGUCCAAGCGAAAGCGUUGAGUGA